rnacentral:misc_RNA from 1 species
UCGCGUCUUACGACGGCAGUUUCACUAGAGUUCCCAGCAUUACCUGAUGGCAACUAGUGAUAGGGGUUGCGCUCGUUGCGGGACUUAACCCAACACCUCACGACACGAGCUGACGACAGCCAUGCAGCACCUGUGUCCAGGUUCCCUUUCGGGCACCCCCCCAUCUCUGGAGGGUUCCUGGCAUGUCAAGGGUAGGUAAGGUUUUUCGCGUUGCAUCGAAUUAAUCCACAUAAUCCACCGCUUGUGCGGGUCCCCGCCAAUUCCUUUGAGUUUUAGCCUUGCGGCCGUAGUCCCCAGGCGGCGGACUUAUCGCGUUGGCUGCGGCACCGGGGGGGUCGAUACCCCCGACACCUAGUCCGCAUCGUUUACGGCGUGGACUAC